CCUAGCUGUAGGCAACUGUCUAGGUUGCCUUGUACCUAGGCAGAUGUUACACUGUUGAGAGAAAAGCAGCCAGUAGCUGAUAGGCAUUCUGAACCCGGUUAAUGCCAAAUUUGUAUUUAGCUAUAUCCAGCAUGCUAACAGU
rnacentral:snoRNA from 1 species